AAAUGAAUAGACGGGGACCCGCACAAGUGGUGGAGCAUGUGGUUUAAUUCGAAGAUACGCGAAAAACCUUACCUGGCCUUGACAUUGAUAGAAUCCAGCAGAGAUGCAGGAGUGCCCUUCGGGGAGCUUGAAAACAGGUGCUGCACGGCUGUCGUCAGCUCGUGUCGUGAGAUGUUGGGUUAAGUCCCGCAACGAGCGCAACCCUCGUCCUUAGUUGCCAGCAGGUUAAGCUGGGCACUCUAGGGAGACUGCCUUCGCAAGAAGGAGGAAGGUGAGGACGACGUCAAGUCAUCAUGGCCCUUACGGCCAGGGCUACACACGUGCUACAAUGGGGCGUACAGAGUGUUGCAAUACCGCGAGGUGGAGCCAAUCACUUAAAGCGUCUCUCAGUUCGGAUUGUUCUCUGCAACUCGAGAGCAUGAAGCUGGAAUCACUAGUAAUCGUAGAUCAGCAUUGCUACGGUGAAUACGUUCCCGGGUCUUGUACACACCGCCCGU
rnacentral:rRNA from 1 species